rnacentral:rRNA from 1 species
AGUGAACGCUGGCGGUAGGCCUAACACAUGCAAGUCGAACGGCAGCACAGGAGAGCUUGCUCUCUGGGUGGCGAGUGGCGGACGGGUGAGGAAUACAUCGGAAUCUACUCUGUCGUGGGGGAUAACGUAGGGAAACUUACGCUAAUACCGCAUACGACCUACGGGUGAAAGCAGGGGAUCUUCGGACCUUGCGCGAUUGAAUGAGCCGAUGUCGGAUUAGCUAGUUGGCGGGGUAAAGGCCCACCAAGGCGACGAUCCGUAGCUGGUCUGAGAGGAUGAUCAGCCACACUGGAACUGAGACACGGUCCAGACUCCUACGGGAGGCAGCAGUGGGGAAUAUCGGACAAUGGGCGCAAGCCUGAUCCAGCCAUUCCGCGUGGGUGAAGAAGGCCUUCGGGUUGUAAAGCCCUUUUGUUGGGAAAGAAAUCCAGCUGGCUAAUACCCGGUUGGGAUGACGGUACCCAAAGAAUAAGCACCGGCUAACUUCGUGCCAGCCGCCGCGGUAA